rnacentral:rRNA from 1 species
AAUAGGCUAAUUAAGAGCGUAAGGGGAAUGCCUUGGCUCUCAGAGGCGAUGAAGGACGUGAUAAGCUGCGAUAAGCUGUGGGGAGUGGCACAAACACUUUGAUCCGCAGAUUUCCGAAUGUGGUAACCCGGCAUAUUGAAGAUAUGUCACACUGUAAAGUGAGCGAACCUGGUGAACUGAAACAUCUAAGUAACCAGAGGAAUAGAAAACAAAAGUGAUUCCGCUAGUAGUGGCGAGCGAACGUGGAACAGCCUAAACCUAUGUUGUUAAGGCAAUAUAGGGGUUGUAGGACCUCAACAUUUAAUGCUAAUAGAACUAGAAUUUACUGGAAAGUAAAACCAUA